rnacentral:rRNA from 1 species
AUUGAACGCUGGCGGCAUGCCUUACACAUGCAAGUCGAACGGCAGCGCGGGGCAACCUGGCGGCGAGUGGCGAACGGGUGAGUAACAUAUCGGAACAUACCCUAGAGUGGGGGAUAACGUAGCGAAAGUUACGCUAAUACCGCAUACGCACUAAGGUGGAAAGUGGGGGAUCUUCGGACCUCAUGCUCAUGGAGUGGCCGAUAUCUGAUUAGCUAGUUGGUGAGGUAAAGGCUCACCAAGGCGACGAUCAGUAGCUGGUUUGAGAGAACGACCAGCCACACUGGAACUGAGACACGGUCCAGACUCCUACGGGAGGCAGCAGUGGGGGAAUUUUGGACAAUGGGGGCAACCCUGAUCCAGCAAUGCCGCGUGAGUGAAGAAGGCCU